UCUAUCAUUAUUAAUAUAUUAUUAUUAAUAAUUACAUUACUAUUAUUAUUAUUAUUAUGUCGAUGAUUAUAUGAAUGACAUAAACAAAAUACAGUUGACUAAUAAAUAAAUUAUUGAUCCACAAUAUCAACAGACUAAUGAUUGAGUUUUAAUGAUUCUUGAAAGCUUGGACCCAUAAACUAACACAAAUGUCGGUUAUUUUAAGUGACAAUAACGAGUGAUCAGACUAAAUGAAGAAAUAUAUAAAUUAUUAUUCAUCUAUCAUUAUUAUUAUUAUUAUUAUGUUAAUGAUAACAUAAAAUGAAUGACAUAAACAAAAUACAAUUGAUAAAUAAAUGAAUAAAUUAUUGAUUCACAAUAUCAACAGACUCCAAGUUUAAUGAUUCUUCAAAGCUGUAGGGCUCAAUAGUACGACGGAGUAUUAGGGCCACCAAAAAAAAAAAAAAGUAAUAUUACGACUUUUAAUCUCGUAAAUUUACGAGUUUUUUCUCAUAAAUUUACGACUUUUAAUCUCGUAAAUCUACGACUUUUUUCUCGUAAAUAUAUUGAAGUCGAGGGGAGCCUACAGUCCAGCGAAUUUAUGCCGUGCGCUGAAGCAGGCCGACCACAAUGUGAAAAACGUCUUGGAUUUCAUCAGGAUGUCUGCAGAUUACGUUGACGAAGCCGUCGAUAUCCGCGCAGCUGUUCACUUCCAGUCAUUUCUUCCUCCGCGACAAACCAGAUCUCCUCCAACUCUGUGAUGCUUCCGUCUGAAGAGGACUCGUUUUCUGAAUUUUCAAUGUUCUUGUGCUAAUGUAACAGACAACUGUCAUUUCUCAGUGUUGUUUUGUGUUGAGACAGGAUGUUUCAUUUGGAGACGGGGAGGUCCGGAGCUCUGUUUACAUUCUCCUUCGGUUGUCAUGUGACGUAAGGUGGCGAAAAGGCUUCUGGGAAGGGAAAGGCAAAAUAAAGUGACGGACCUGAUAAA